UGGGGAAUCUUAGACAAUGGGCGCAAGCCUGAUCUAGCCAUGCCGCGUGAGCGAUGAAGGCCUUAGGGUUGUAAAGCUCUUUCAGUGGGGAAGAUAAUGACUGUACCCACAGAAGAAGCCCCGGCUAACUCCGUGCCAGCAGCCGCGGUAAUACGGAGGGGGCUAGCGUUGUUCGGAAUUACUGGGCGUAAAGCGCACGUAGGCGGACUGGAAAGUCAGGGGUGAAAUCCCGGGGCUCAACCCCGGAACUGCCUUUGAAACUCCCAGUCUUGAGGUCGAGAGAGGUGAGUGGAAUUCCGAGUGUAGAGGUGAAAUUCGUAGAUAUUCGGAAGAACACCAGUGGCGAAGGCGACUCACUGGACACAUAUUGACGCUGAGGUGCGAAAGCGUGGGGAGCAAA
rnacentral:rRNA from 1 species